AUAAAAGAAGCAAAAAAAUUGCAAGUAGUUUCGACCUGCUCUCUGCUUUACGCCUUUUAUU
rnacentral:tRNA from 1 species